rnacentral:lncRNA from 1 species
UCCAUUUUGGUGCGAUAUGGCGGUGCUACAGGCACAUAUACUGCGCAUCAAAAAUACUUAAAAGGGAUAUAUUAGGUUCAUGACCUAAAACUAAUUGCAACGGAGAAUAUUUGUGAUAAUUUGUCGGUCUGAGAGGAACUAGCAUUGCUGUCCUAUCUAAUAUUUCAUAAUAUUUAUCGUGAAUUAUUAAAUAUACAUUGUAAUAAUAUGCAUACAAAAGGAGAAAGACUGUGU